rnacentral:lncRNA from 1 species
GUAUAUACUGAGAACACUCCAUUCAAGCAGCAAAAUACACAUUCUUCUCAAGUAUACAUGGAAUGUUAGCUGGGCAGUAAAACGAAUUUCAAUAAAUUCAAUAUUGAAGUCAUAUCAAGCAUCUUCAACUACAAUUGUAUGCAACUAGAAAUCAGUUUUAGUAAGAAAACUGGAAAAACCACACAAAUAUGGAGAUUAAACAACAUGCCACUUAAAACUCAGUAAGUCAUUGAAGAAAUCAAAGGAGAUACAAAAAAAAAAAAAAACCCACCUAGAGACAAAUGAGAACAGAAAUAAUCUCAAGUAGUCUAAUGGUUAUAGCUAAAAUAACAACAACAACAAAAAGAAAAAACAGGUGCCUGGGUGUCUCAGUUGGUUAAGCAUCCGACUCUAGAUUUCAUCUCGGGUCGUGAUCUCAGGGUUGUGAGAUUGAGCCCUGAUUGGGCUCCAUGCUGGAUGUGGAUACUGCUUAAGAUUCCCUCUCUCCCUCUCUCUACCUCCUUCCCCCCACUCAUGCAUGCUCUUUCUCUGUCAAAAAAAAAAAAAAAAAAAAGAAAAAAAAAAGGAAGCCCAAAGUAAGUAGAAGAAUGGAAACAUAUAUAAAAAAGAGACUAUUUUAGAUAGUAGAAAGAUAAAUGACUAAGAGCUGCUUCUUUGAUAAGAUAAAACCGACAAACCUUUAGCUAGAGUUACCAAGAAAAAAAGAGAACCAAAAUCAGAUUUGAAAGAGGAUACAUUACAACUGAUAGCACAGAAAUACAAAGGAUCAUUAGAGACCACUAUGAACAAUUAUACACCAACAAAUUUGGUAACCUGGAAAAGAUGGAUAUAUUCCUAGAAACAUGCUGAAUCAAUAGGAAAUAGAAAAAUCUGAACAGACUGAUUGCUUAGUAAGGAAACUGAAUCGGUAAAAGAACCUCUCAACAAACAAAAAUCCAGGACGAGAUAGCUUCACUGGUGAAUUCUGCUGAACAUUCAAAGAAGAAUUAAUACCAAUUCUUCUCAUAUUCUUCCAAAAAACAAAACAAAAACAAAAACAGAAGAGGGGACAUUCCCAAACUCAUUUUAUGAGGCCAUCAUUAUCCUAAUACCAAACCAGACAAGAAUUACUAGAAAAUUACAAGCCAAUAUACCUGAUGAUUAUACAUUCAAAAAUCUUCAACAAAAUAAUAGCAAAUCAAAUUCAUUUAUUAAAAAGGUUAUAACCCUAAAAAUAAAAAGGUUAUAACCCAUAAUCAAAUGGGAUUUAUUCCAGUGAUACAAGGAUGGUUCAACACCUGUUAGUCCAUAUAAUUCACAUUAACAAAAAAGGAUAAAAACAUGAUCAUCUCAAUAAAUGGAGAAAAAGCCUUUGACAUAAUUCAACGGCCAUUUAUGGUAACUCAAAAGUGGUGGGUAUAGAGGGAACAUACCUCAACAUAAUAAAGGCCGUAUAUGACAAGCCCGCAGCUAACAACAUACUGAGCGGGGAGGGUACAAGCUUUUUCUCUAAGAUCAGGAACAAGACAAAGAUGCCCACUCUCACCACUUAUCAACAUAGGAAUUAGAAGUCCUAGCCAAAGCAGUUAGGCAAGAAAACGAUAUAAAAGGCAUCCAGAUUGGAAAGGAAGAAGUAAAACUGCCACUAUUUGCAGAUAACAUGAUAUAUAUAUAUAUAUGUAUAUAUAUAUAGAAACUCCUAAAGACCCCACAAGAAAACUUAGAAUAAAAAGAAUUCAGUAAAUAAAGUUCAGGAUAUAAAAUCAACAUACAAAAAAUAUAUUACAUUGCUAAACAUUGAUAAUGAACUACCCAAAAGAAAUCCAUCCAAAAAA